rnacentral:lncRNA from 1 species
UGGCACCGCUGCUUUCUGAAUGCUGCUGAAUCUAGAAAUGCAGGCAUUGGUCAUAGCUGAUGCUAACUGUUUCAAUCCUGCAAUUAAUAAAUAAAACCAUGAAACACACAUAGGAAAACAGCUUGCUUGGCCGAGCAAGUUUAGACCGUAACUCAAUGAUUGGAAAAAUGGUCAAGUCAAGACAAGAAUUUUCCGAUGAUCAUUUCGGUGAACAAGAGGAGAAAAAAAGAAAAAAAGAAAAAAAAAGGGAGGAUACCCGUAGUGGCACUUUUUUUUUCUUCUUUUUUUCUAAUACAUAUUAAAUCAAACUAGCUCAAUUUAAGGGCUAACUGUUUCAAUCCUGCAAAUUAAUAAAUAAAACCAUGAAACACAAGUAGGAAAACAGCUUGCUUGGCGCAGCAAGUUUAGACCGUAACUCAUUGAUUGGAAAAAUGGUCAAGUCAAGACAAGAAUUUUCCGAUGAUCAUUUCGGUGUGAACAAGAGAGUAGACACUAAAUGAAAUUUUUGGGAAACCAAAGGAGGAUACUGGUAGUGG